AUUCUGGGAAGUGAAGUUGACAUCUAUAUACUUUGAAGUUUUAGAUAUGGACUGCGGAGAAAUCUUAGGAGGGAGAACAGACACACUGGAGUUAGAUGGAGUUGAAGAAGUUAAAUCUGCACAGAUAACUGAAAGUGAAACAGCCGGAGAAUCAGAAAGACAUUUUGAAUUGAUGCUUGAAUCAGAUAAGAUGGAGUCCGGAGAGGGAUAAGGAGGUGAUGAGGCUGAUGACGACGAAGAUGAAGAUGACACAGCUGGAGAAUCAGAAAGACAUUUUGAAUUGAUGCUUGAAUCAGAUAAGAUGGAGUCCGGAGACGGAUAAGGAGGUGAUGAGGCUGAUGACGAUGAAGAUGAAGAUGAUUUUGAAGAUAACGAUAUUGUAGAUGGUGAUGAUGAGCACGAGGACGACGAAGACAACAUACAAGAAGAAUGUAGUUGUUUAGUUG
rnacentral:lncRNA from 1 species